UUACGGCCAUAUCAUGUUGAAACACUCGUUCUCAUACAAUAACUGAAGUUAAGCAAUGUCAAAUUUGGUCAGUACCUAGAUGGGUGACCACUUGGGAAUACCAGGUGCUGUAAG